CAGAGAAGAUAGUCAAGCGUCUACCUGUCUGUCUCCCACCUGACUCUGAAGAAAAUGAGGAUCUCAACUGUCUUUCUGGUUGUUGCUCUUUUGGUCUUCGCCUGUGAAGCGAAGGCUUUAAAUGAUAUUGAUCACCUUAAUGACGACGGUGCAGAUUAUCUUGCAGCAAAUGGAAAUCUAGCUGCAGACAAACUGGCUGUUGGACUCUGGGCAGACAAAGCUCUUUGGAAACAUGACUGAAUCUCAACAAAUCAGACUCCAGUCAGGACCUGAUCUUCACUGACUCUUCAUCUGCAGCUGCUGUGCUCUACACCAAGAUGGAUUGGUCUUCCCUCAUCAUAACCAGCUGUGCUUCUUCUUCACCUUCUCAAUAAAUCAGCAUGAAUC